rnacentral:rRNA from 1 species
AUUUUUCUCAAUGGGGGCAACCCUGAAGGAGCGACGCCGCGUGGAGGAUGAAGGCUUUCGGGUUGUAAACUCCUGUCAUUUGGGAACAAGUUGGACGCAGUAACUACGCGUCCAUUGAUAGUACCAGAAGAGGAAGAGACGGCUAACUCUGUGCCAGCAGCCGCGGUAAUACAGAGGUCUCAAGCGUUGUUCGGAUUCAUUGGGCGUAAAGGGUGCGUAGGUGGCGCGCUAAGUCAGGUGUGAAAUUUCGGAGCUCAACUCCGAAACUGCAUUUGAUACUGGCGUGCUUGAGGACUGGAGAGGAGACUGGAAUUCACGGUGUAGCAGUGAAAUGCGUAGAUAUCGUGAGGAAGACCAGUGGCGAAGGCGGGUCUCUGGACAGUUCCUGACACUGAGGCACGAAGGCCAGGGGAGCAAAC